UGCAAGUACAAGUAAGCAUUGUGAUGUUCUCGUAGCUUGCGAACCGGUGCUACCCCGACUGAGCUUUUCUUCUUCUAAAAACUUCUCCAACCACCAUACAUCUUUUCUGGUGCUUUAUUUGUGCUAGAAUUAAUAUUCUUGACCUUGUAAGGCCUUUUUCUUGACCUUGUAAGGCCCUCUCACAUCGUUUUCCAUCUCAUUAUGUACCUCGUGCAUCUCUUUCUUGAUAUCUACAAGAAUGAACCUGCCAUCGCCAAGUUGGCCAGCCAUCUCCUACCUCAUGUUCCCUUCUCCCUUCUAUCCCUCCUGAGCUA
rnacentral:sRNA from 1 species